rnacentral:rRNA from 1 species
UACAGAGGUCCCAAGCGUUGUUCGGAUUUACUGGGCGUAAAGGGUGCGUAGGCGGUUGGGUAAGUCUGACGUGAAAUCUCCGGGCCUAACCCGGAACUGCGUUGGAUACUACCUGACUAGAGGAAUGGAGGGGAGACUGGAAUACUUGGUGUGAGCAGUGAAAUGCGUAGAUAUCAAGAGGAACACCUGAGGUGAAGACGGGUUGCUGGGCUGACACUGACGCUGAGGCGCGAAGGUCAGGGGAGCAAACGGG